rnacentral:rRNA from 1 species
GCCAACGACCAUACCACGUUGAAUACACCAGUUCUCGUCCGAUCACUGAAGUUAAGCAACGUCNGCCGUUGGCA